GAUCAUUGUCGGCUGAUUUGAAUACUGGGGUGGAUAUCACAAUGAUCAUAAUCAUCGAAAUACUACAGUCACACUUCUGUUUUGAUCAAUCAGAAUUGAGCAAGAUGCAGCAUUUUUACGGAUCAUUGUCUGCUGCUUUGAUUACUUGCGCGGAUAUCACAAAAUAUAAUCAUAAUCAUCGAAAUACUACUGUCACACUUCUUGUCCAGAUCAGUGAGCGUUGAGCAAGGUGCAGAAUUUUCGUGAAACAUUGUCGGUUGAUUGGAAUACUGGAGCUCAAUAUCACAAUAAUUUGAUCAUUAUAAUCAACCUGGACCUUUUCUUUGGUCGGAGAUUGUGCUGUGUUUUUAACGGUAGAAAAUUCACCCAAGCCAUUUAUCGGCCGAAUCAAAUCGAUGUGGGAAUCUUAUCAAAGUAUGAUGGUGCUCGUGAAAUGGUUCUACCUAUCAUCCGGAAGGGACAAGUGGCCUCAAAAAAGAAUUAGUUACCUCACGAAUCCAAUGACGUGUACUAUUUGGCCGGCCAUUACGAUCCCACCACCAAAAAACUGACUCUGGAAAAAGACGUCGUUUCGUAGACGUUCUUUUUUUUCUGAGUUCGUUUUAUGUACAUAUUUCGUGUGUACUGUGUACGUAUUUUUUUAAUCUCGCGUCAUUUUUUGUUUGUUUUUUGUACUCGACGCGAUAAUUAGUUACCAAUUUUAAAAGAUACAUCAACGUUUGUAUCAAUUUUUUUCUCUUUUAAUUCGCGUAUCCGGUGUUUUUUCUCCCAUUUAUUAUAUUAGAGUGCGUAUCCGGUAUCGCCAUUCAUCUACAUUACCAAAUCGUUUUGAAUGUUUGAGAAAUCUUUAGGAUAGAUUUCCGUCUGUUUGCUUUUUUUUUAGUGAGUUUUUUUUGUUGUUUCGAAAAUAAUUUUGAAAAUCAGUAUUGCUAAUUCGAGAUAUCGUGAUUUUUUUUACGCCAUUGCCCCGUUGACAUAGUUUUUUUUCAAAUAAAUAAGGGCUCUAUGGUAUAGUACGGAAAUACCUACGCUUAAUGUGGUAGAUUUUUUUUCUUAAUACAUGCUAAAAAAGAAGUUUACAAACUGUUGGUAAAAUUAAGGAAUCGUUAGAGCGUUGUGUUGUGUGACUCAAAAUACGAGUAUUGUGAGCGUUAGGACUGGUCAAGUAGUCGUCCUAUGGAAUUUGGCGACUACUAGCUUUGACCCCCCACAUUGACGCAAUAUUUACUUAAUCGAAAUGGUAUCGUGAGUGUUUGUUUGUGUCGCGAGUCGCUUUGCGCGUUUUUUUUCUCGUGAAAGUACGUGAAUCGUAAAUUCUAAUGGUAUAACCAGUGGCCGUUUUAGUGCAAUUUUACGCGGGUUUCGAGAGUUCGAUGUGUUUGAAAUGUGGACUUCGCAAAGGAUUUUUUCGAAGUCUCAUUAAUGAACUGUAGAAUGUUGUGAUGAGCUGGAUGCAAAGAUGCAGUAUGUCUGUGGAUAAUUUGUAGGAAGAUUUGAAUAUUUGAGCGGAUAUCACGACAAUCAUGUGAUUCGUAGAAUUUUUCUGAAACAUUGUCGGUUGAUUGGAAUACUGGAGCUCAAUAUCACAAUCAUUUUGAUCAUUAGCGUAAACCUGGACCAAUGUACGUACCUUUACCUACACCUAGUAGUAUAUCUUUGGAUUAUUUUCGGAAGAUUUGAAUACUUGAGCGGAUAUAUUUGUCUGGAACAUUGUCAGUUGAUUGGAAUACUGGAGCUCAAUAUCACAAUCAUUUUGAGAAUGAGCAUCAAACCUGAACUAAUGUACCUAUAACCUACAUAGGUAGUAUUUCUUUGGCACAUUGUCGGAAGAUUAGAAUACUUGAGCAGAUAUCACGAUAAUCAUGUGAUUCGUAGAAUUUUUCUGGAAGUUUUUCGGUCGAUUUGAAUUCUCCAGCUCAAUAUUUAUCUAGCGUUGAACAAGAUGCUGUAUUGGGUGAAAGGAAGUCACACAGAGUUCAAUAUGAAGAAGAUAGUGCCUGGACAUAAAUGUUUUUGUGUUUGAAACGAUGUGUGUUGAGCAAUAAAAGCAGAAUAUUUCUGAGGAUCAUUGUCGGGUGAUUUGAAUACUUGAGCGGAUAUCAGAAUAAUCAUAAUCAUCGAAAUCUUACUGUCAUACUUCUGUUUUAUCAAUGAGUGUUGAGCAAGAUGCAGAAUUUUUGUGAUUUCAUUGUGCAUUCAUUCAUUGUGAAGAUGGAAGAUUUCAUUUGUGUCAAAGAUAUUAGCACUCACCUAAUACCUACCACCUGCAGCCUAGAAGAUUCUGUGACUGUAAAUGAUUACAUUUGAGAUGUCUUUCCCUAGUACCAAUGGAUUGUAGUCUAUAAGUUUUAGUACACUAUAAAAAUUAAUUAUUGGAAACCAUCAAUAAAUAUUUAUGUAUUUCUUGUA